CACAGAUGGAACACCAGCAUGCAAUUGAAUCAGGAAUUGAGAUUUUGUGAAAUGUACGCAGUACAGUGGCAAAGAAGUUAGCAUCUCUCCUUCACAGAUCCUGAAAUUUGGGGUUAAGACCUGGCCUUGUUACUAAACAGGAGGAGGAGUGUUGCUCAGGGAAGCACAUAUCCAUAGGACUGAAAGUUUCCAGUUUGAAAGUGGCCAGGUACUUUUAAAUUGUGGAGCUGCAGUAACACAAAGGACAGAAAACGGGCAAAGAAUGUCCAUGGGGUAAGGGUCAAU